rnacentral:rRNA from 1 species
GUGGGGAAUAUUGGACAAUGGGCGAAAGCCUGAUCCAGCCAUGCCGCGUGUGUGAAGAAGGUCUUCGGAUUGUAAAGCACUUUAAGUUGGGAGGAAGGGUAGUAACCUAAUACGUUGCUACUUUGACGUUACCGACAGAAUAAGCACCGGCUAACUUCGUGCCAGCAGCCGCGGUAAUACGAAGGGUGCAAGCGUUAAUCGGAAUUACUGGGCGUAAAGCGCGCGUAGGUGGUUCAGUAAGUUGGAAGUGAAAUCCCCGGGCUCAACCUGGGAACUGCGUUCAAAACUGCUGAGCUAGAGUACGGUAGAGGGUGGUGGAAUUUCCUGUGUAGCGGUGAAAUGCGUAGAUAUAGGAAGGAACACCAGUGGCGAAGGCGACCACCUGGACUGAUACUGACACUGAGGUGCGAAAGCGUGGGGAGCAAACAGGAUUAGAUACCCGUGUAGUCC